UAGAGUUUGAUCCUGGCUCAGGAUGAACGCUAGCGACAGGCUUAACACAUGCAAGUCGAGGGGCAGCGGGGCGAGUGCUUGCACUCGCUGCCGGCGACCGGCGCACGGGUGAGUAACACGUAUGGAACCUGCCCGCAGCAGGGGGAUAAGCGGAAGAAAUUCCGUCUAAUACCGCGUAACAACCGUUGGAGGCAUCUCCGGUGGUUUAAAGGUUUACCGGCUGCGGAUGGCCAUGCGGCGCAUUAGCUAGUUGGCGGGGUAACGGCCCACCAAGGCGACGAUGCGUAGGGGUUCUGAGAGGAAGGUCCCCCACACUGGUACUGAGACACGGACCAGACUCCUACGGGAGGCAGCAGUGAGGAAUAUUGGUCAAUGGCCGGAAGGCUGAACCAGCCAAGUCGCGUGAGGGAAGACGGCCCUACGGGUUGUAAACCUCUUUUGUCGGGGAGCAAAGGCGGUCAUGCGUGACCGGAUGAGAGUACCCGAAGAAAAAGCAUCGGCUAACUCCGUGC
rnacentral:rRNA from 1 species